rnacentral:rRNA from 1 species
AUUGAACGCUGGCGGCAGGCCUAACACAUGCAAGUCGAACGAGUGGCGGACGGGUGAGUAAUGUCUGGGAAACUGCCUGAUGGAGGGGGAUAACUACUGGAAACGGUAGCUAAUACCGCAUACCAUCAGCUGUGCCCAGAUGGGCAUAGCUAGUUGGUGGGGUAAAGGCUCACCAAGGCAACGAUCCCUAGCUGGUCUGAGAGGAUGACCAGCCACACUGGAAACGUGACACGGUCCAGACUCCUACGGGUGGAAGAAGUGGUGAAUAUUGCACAAUGGGGGCAAGCCUGAUGCAGCCAUGCCGCGUGUAUGAAUAAGGCCUUCUGGUUGUAAAGUACUUUCAGCGGGGAGGCGUUACCCGCAGAAGAAGCACCGGCUAACUCCGUGCCAGCCGCCGCGGUAAUAC